UAGGGUUCAAAGGUUUCGUUGAGAUGUCGAAAGAAGCAAAUGAGCAGAAUGCCCUAAUGAAAACUUGUCUUAGGUGUAACAGCCUAUUUUUAGUGAAAUCGGAACAGUGAUUUCGGGACCACAAAUCCAAGCUGAAAUUUUUUUAUUUUAAUAUUAUUGCAUGGUCUGCAUUAUGAUAGGAUUGUUAUAUGAAAAUUUUGAUAAGAAAAAUUUUAUCAAUUAUGUGUUUAAUUAUGGAAAGGACCAAAUUGCAUAAAAUGAAAAAGUUGAGUUCU
rnacentral:lncRNA from 1 species